UACGAAGGGGGCUAGCGUUGCUCGGAAUCACUGGGCGUAAAGCGCACGUAGGCGGGUCGUUAAGUCGGGGGUGAAAUCCUGGAGCUCAACUCCAGAACUGCCCUCGAAACUGGCGAUCUUGAGUUCGGGAGAGGUGAGUGGAACUGCGAGUGUAGAGGUGAAAUUCGUAGAUAUUCGCAAGAACACCAGUGGCGAAGGCGGCUCACUGGCCCGAUACUGACGCUGAGGUGCGAAAGCGUGGGGAGCAAACAGG
rnacentral:rRNA from 1 species